rnacentral:sRNA from 1 species
GUUUACUGGGAGCUUGCCCUCAGAGCGAUCUUAUCAUUUGUUGGAUCCUCCAAACGAAUCAGCCGAAUUGCAUGCAUGACUUCCCAGUCGUAGAUGAAAAGGUCCAGAGUUUCGUUCGAGCAACGGUACGAGGUCUGGCAUCAUAUCAUUUCAUAAUGUCGGAUCCCUGUGCUCGCCCGAAGUUCAACACUACUCUCUUAUAAAGAACUAAAAGUCAAGUUUUCCCUUUUUCCAACAUUCAAAAUAAAAGAUCCAAAAGCUAGACCCUCGCGAGAUCUCUAAUAGGAAAGCUAACAUUCCUCUUCUAUGGUGGCAGUCUCAAAACUUUCAUUAUGUGAUGGCUCAUAGUUGGCAAUGCCAAUCAGACAACCUUCAAAGUGCGGCAUCUCAGCCAAUAUUGCACCAUUCGAAGCUGCAAACGAACAUAUUGUUGGGAUGGCGCUGUACCCACAGUGUUAUGAAGAUACCGUUUACCAAGGCGAUUCGUAAAGCACAAUAACCUAGACCAUCCAGUACCAGAGGAC